rnacentral:lncRNA from 1 species
AUUUGGUAUAUUUAAUUAUCUGCAACAUUUAUUGAAAUUAUAUUAUAUUUUAUUUAGGUUUUGGAUCAAACAAGUCGAUCGAUUGUUGUCGUUGAUUCGGCGAAUUUAUGGUUUGGUAGAUUUUUUCUAGUUUGGCAACUUUGUUCGUGGUUCUGGUGUCAGACUGACAGCUGGCUGAGCUGAGAGACAGGUUAUGGAAAGUGGGGACGUCGCGAGAGCGCCGGAGACUCCACUGCCGUAACAAUAAUGUGGGCAAAUUAAAAGCCACGAUUUAUCGGCGACAUCAAGAGCCGAUGUCUCGAUUUAAAUAAAUAACUUAACCGAGAUGGUGAGUCCUCGCAAUUCUUCGUGCAUAUUUUUGCACCAACUUUGUGAUAACCUCGAGGUCCUUGUUUUCAGCAACAUCACUGAAAUCCCAUCGCCUAAGGUCCAGUGGGUGGGUUUAGGUUUAAUCCGAGCGAUGCCCAACUAUCCCGGAUGAACCUAUGGGGUUUUUGUUUUUUCCUUUAACGUUUUAAAGUUUUAACGUUUUUGCAAGUUUUAAUCUAAGAAGAAGUUUAUGAUUGGAUCAGACUAUUUCAACAAAUUUUGUGAAUGAAGAUUGCUACUGUUUUCUUCUGCGUUUGCAAGUUAUUUCAAGCUUCAUUUCGGCGGAGCUUGCCUUGGUUGUUUGCACGUCGAAGCUUUCCUUUGUGCGGCGCGCAUGUGGAUGUGCUGCGCCUCUCCUUUUGUCAACACUCCGGAUAAGGCCCGGUGAAGGUCUGCGAGGUUGACCGGUGGACGUGCAGCCCGCCAGCUGCGUAACAGUUGGCCCGCUGCGCCGCCAUCGUCCAGCACGCCCUGGCCUGAGCCGGCCUCAACUCAUCACCUGUACGGUAUUCCGGAACGCCUCAGGUAGGCCUGAUAGUCGGAGGUCCUCGAGUAAGUGAGGUGCCUACAGGUGUACGGACAGUGUUUUUAAACAUAGUGAUAUCCCAUGGUUGUUACGGAGUGACAAUUAACCUGACGGACCAAAGCGCGACCUGUCUCCCUCCAUAGGGUUUCUACCUACCUAUGGAUAAUUAAAUUUGUAUAUUUAAAAUUAUACAGUGUACAAAUUCAAA